GGUCUUACAGGCCAGACAGCCUUCGGGUGGGUCUUCAUGCCAGACAACCUUCGGGUGGGUCUUAUAAGAUUAAACUUUUAACAGUUAAAGUGACAAGUGGACAUUGACUAGAAUAAUAAAUAAUGACAUCUUUACUAUUUGCAUUGAGGACAUCGUGUUGGUUGCAUACUCAUGCUUAUACAUGUUAGUCACAUUCAUGUACAUACUUGUUGUAGUUGCUUUAUUACUUAUGCAGUUCAUGCUAAGUAGAGAUAUCAUGGUAGAAUAGUACUCAUGGUUACAUACUUGUUCAUUAUUU
rnacentral:lncRNA from 1 species